AUCCUUUCAGCAGCAUAUGUGUUUACAUUGGAACAAUGCAGAGAAGAUUAGCAUGGCUGUAUGCAAGGAUGACAUGGAAAUUUGUGAAGUGUUGCAUAUUUUU
ensembl:snRNA U6 U6 spliceosomal RNA